CCAGGAUGAGCUCAUCUGCCCUGUGACAUUGGGCCUAUUCCUUUAAUUUUCUCAGACAAAUACUUUUAUUUUUAAUGCAAAAUUAUUUUUCUUGUUUCAUUUUACUAAUAUCUUUGUCUUGGGGCUUCUCGGAGUUGGGUUGCUUGGGAAUGCAGCCCAAAGCGAGUGGUAAACUCCAUCUAAGGCUAAAUACCGGCCCGAGACCGAUAGCCAACAAGUACCGUAAGGGAAAGUUGAAAAGAACUUUGAAGAAAAUCAAGAAAAUAUGUGCCAUCGUUUCCUUGUCAUUUUUUAUUUAUAACCCCUGUAGGGUGUAAUUGUAAUUUAUUGAAGAAAACUAAUUUCAUUUUCUUUUUUUCCCUGUAUUUGGUAUGUAAUUUCCUUAGAUAUGUUGUGGAGUCAGUUCAAUGUUCAGCAGCUAAUGUAAGGGCACGUGACAAGUGUGAUUUAUGGCAGUUGAGCAAAGUUUCAAUGUCAAGAUUGUAUACAGUAUUUCACAUUUUAGUUCAAUACAGCACAGCUUAAAAU
rnacentral:ncRNA from 1 species